rnacentral:rRNA from 1 species
GUGUCAGCCGCCGCGGUAAUACGUAGGUGGCAAGCGUUGUCCGGAAUUACUGGGCGUAAAGGGUGCGCAGGCGGACAUUUAAGUGAGAUGUGAAAGACCCGGGCUUAACUUGGGCAGUGCAUUUCAAACUGGAUGUCUGGAGUGCAGGAGAGGAGAACGGAAUUCCUAGUGUAGCGGUGAAAUGCGUUGAGAUUAGGAAGAGAACCAGUGGCGAAGGCGGGUCUCUGGAC